rnacentral:misc_RNA from 1 species
AAGUCGUAACAAGGUUUCCGUAGGUGAACCUGCGGAAGGAUCAUUGUUGAAUAGUUCGUGGUGCUGUGCUGGCCUUUCGGGGCAUGUGCACGCAUUGCAAUUAUUUCAUUAUCUUUUUGUGAACCAGUGUAGGCUUGGACCUUUGUCGGUGGAAGCUCUUGUUGAGCGAUAACGCCGUUCGUAGGACCCAAGUCUAUGAUUUUAUAUAAACCUUUGUAUGUUUUUGAAUGUCUUUGCUUUAUUGGCCGAAAGGCUAGUAAAAAAAAUCUAUACAACUUUCAGCAACGGAUCUCUUGGCUCUC